CGUUCAUCGUAACUUGACGCGUGACUAAUUGGUAGCACUGUUUCCUCAGUCGCCAUCUUACUUUCAGUUUGAUAGCUUGCUGUUUGUGUGCUCUUUUGGUUUAUAAUAAGUUAAUCUGAGUGUUAAAAAUGCCGAAGGUGGUAAAAAGUGUUAAAAGACAAACUAUUCUUCAAGUUUACGCAUUUUGUGAGAAAGAAAAGACUGAGAACAAGCUGAUUAUUCCAUUGCAACAAGUUCGUGCCCGAGUUGCCGCCAUGACCGAUGUAUCCGAAUCUACUGUGACCAGGAUUUUGAGACAAGAAAGAGAGUCCAGUUCUGUUUCGGGUGUGCCUGGUCCGUCAAAA